rnacentral:SRP_RNA from 1 species
GAUAUGGGCAGUUCAGCUAAUCAGGGGUCUGAAGUGGGAGGAUCGCUUGAACCCAGGAGUUUUGGGCUACAGGGCGCUAUGCCGAUGGGGUGUCCGCACUAAGUUUGGCAUCAAUAUGGUGACCUCCCGAGAGUGAAGGACCAAUAGGUUGCUUAAGGAGGGGUCAACCGGCCCAGGUCAAAACUCCCGUGCUGAUCGUGUCUGUGAAUAGCCACAGCCUGGGCAAUAUAGCGAGACUCCAUCUCU